rnacentral:rRNA from 1 species
CAGCCGCCGCGGUAAUACGGAAGGGGCAAGCGUUACCCGGAUUUACUGGGUGUAAAGGGUCCGCAGGCGGUUAGGUGUGUCAGUUUUGAAAUCCUUUGGCUCAACCAGAGAAUUGGAACUGAUACUACCUGACUUUGAGUCUAGAUGGGGGAAAUGGAACUGCCAGUGUAGCGGUGGAAUGCGUAGAUAUUGGCAGGAACACCUGUGGCGAAGGCGAUUUCCUAAUCUGGAACUGACGCUCAGGGACGAAAGCGUGGGGAGCGAUCGGGAUUAGAUACCCCGGUAGUCCACACCGUAAACGAUGGGUGCUAGGUGUCGGUCUGGUAAAACGGAUCGGUGCCGAAGUUAACACGUUAAGCACCUCACCUGGGGACUACGGUCGCAAGGCUGAAACCCAAAGGAAUUGACGGGGGUCCGCACAAUCGGUGGAACAUGUGGUUUAAUUCGAUGAUACGCGAAGAACCUUACCUGGGCUUGACAUUGCCUAGUAGGAGCCCGAAAGGGUGACGACCUAUCUUCGGAUAGGAGGGUAAACAGGAGGUGCAUGGCC